rnacentral:rRNA from 1 species
CCUACGGGCGGCUGCAGUGAGGAAUAUUGGUCAAUGGACGGAAGUCUGAACCAGCCAUGCCGCGUGCAGGAAGACGGCUCUAUGAGUUGUAAACUGCUUUUGUACAAGGGUAAACCUGAAUACGUGUAUUCAGCUGAAAGUACUGUACGAAUAAGGAUCGGCUAACUCCGUGCCAGCAGCCGCGGUAAUACGGAGGAUCCAAGCGUUAUCCGGAUUUAUUGGGUUUAAAGGGUGCGUAGGCGGAUUGAUAAGUUAGAGGUGAAAUGUCCGAGCUUAACUCGGGAACUGCCUCUAAUACUGUUGAUCUAGAGAGUAGAUGCGGUAGGCGGAAUGUAUGGUGUAGCGGUGAAAGGCUUAGAGAUCAUACAGAACACCGAUUGCGAAGGCAGCUUACCAAUCUAUAUCUGACGUUGAGGCACGAAAGCGUGGGGAGCAAACAGGAUUAGAUACCCUUGUAGUC